rnacentral:rRNA from 1 species
UACAGAGACUGCGAGCGUUAUUCGGAUUCACUGGGCGUAAAGGGUGCGCAGGCGGCCAAGUGUGUGAGGUGUGAAAGCCCGGGGCUUAACCCCGGAAUUGCACCUCAAACUACAUGGCUAGAGCAUUGGAGAGGGUAGCAGAAUUCACGGUGUAGCAGUGAAAUGCGUAGAUAUCGUGAGGAAUACCAGAGGCGAAGGCGGCUACCUGGACAAUUGCUGACGCUCAGGCACGAGAGCGUGGGGAGCGAACAGG